rnacentral:rRNA from 1 species
CAGUCGAACGGAUAUCUUCGGAUAUGAGUGGCGAACGGGUGAGUAACACGUAGGGAACCUGCCUGCAUGAGCGGGAGAACUUCUGGAAACGGAAGCUGAUACCGGAUGAGCAAAGAGGAGGCAUCUUCUUUUUGGAAAAGGGGACAAGAGUCCCGCAUGCAGAUGGACCUGCGGUGCAUUAGCUGGUUGGAGGGGUAACGGCUCACCAAGGCGACGAUGCAUAGCCGGCCUGAGAGGGCGGACGGCCACACUGGGACUGAGACACGGCCCAGACUCCUGCGGGAGGCAGCAGUAGGGAAUUUUCGUCAAUGGGGGGAACCCUGAACGAGCAAUGCCGCGUGAGCGAGGAAGGUCUUCGGAUCGUAAAGCUCUGUUGCCGGGGACAAAAGGCAGAAAGAGUGGAAAGCUUUCUGAGUGAUGGUACCCGGCGAGGAAGUCACGGCUAACUACGUGCCAGCAGCCGCGGUAAUACGUAGGUGGCGAGCGUUAUCCGGAAUGAUUGGGCGUAAAGGGUGCGCAGGCGGCCGGGCAAGUCCGCAGUAAAAACUGGAGGCUCAACCUUCAGGGGCUGCGGAAACUGUCCGGCUGGAGAGCAGGAGAGGACGGUGGAACUCCAUGUGUAGCGGUAAAAUGCGUAGAUAUAUGGAAGAACACCGGUGGCGAAGGCGGCCGUCUGGCCUGCAUCUGACGCUGAGGCACGAAAGCGUGGGGAGCAAAUAGGAUUAGAUACCCUAGUAGUCCACGCUG